GUAACACCGUGGGAAUUUACCAAGAAGUGGGGAAUAGCUCGACGAAAGUCGAAUUAAUACCGAUAUGAUCGAAAGAUCAAAGCCGGGGACCGCAAGGCCUGGCGCUUUUUGAGAAGCCCGGGCCCAUCAGCUAGUUGGCGAGGUAAAAGCUCACCAAGGCUAUGACGGGUAGCUGGUCUGAGAGGACGACCAGCAACUGGAACUGAGACACGGUCCAGACACCUACGGGUGGCAGCAGUCGAGAAUUUUUCACAAUGGACGAAAGUCUGAUGGAGCGACGCCGCGUGGAGGAUGAAGGUUUCUCGGAUUGUAAACUCCUGUCACUGCAGAACAAGGGUGCAUUUAUGAAUAGUAGAUGCAUUUGAUGGUAUGCGGAGAGGAAGGGACGGUAACUCUGUGCCAGCAGCCUGCGGUAAGACAGAGGUCCCGAGCGUUGUUCGGAUUCAUUGGGCGUAAAGGGUGUGUAGGAGGCUAGGUAAGUCAGGUGUGAAAUCUACACAGAUUAACUGUGAAACUGCGACUUUGAUAACU
rnacentral:rRNA from 1 species